GAUGAACGCUGGCGGCGUGCCUAAUACAUGCAAGUCGAGCGAACGGACGAGAAGCUUGCUUCUCUGAUGUUAGCGGCGGACGGGUGAGUAACACGUGGAUAACCUACCUAUAAGACUGGGAUAACUUCGGGAAACCGGAGCUAAUACCGGAUAAUAUUUUGAACCGCAUGGUUCAAAAGUGAAAGACGGUCUUGCUGUCACUUAUAGAUGGAUCCGCGCUGCAUUAGCUAGUUGGUAAGGUAACGGCUUACCAAGGCAACGAUGCAUAGCCGACCUGAGAGGGUGAUCGGCCACACUGGAACUGAGACAAGGUCCAGACUCCUACGGGAGGCAGCAGUAGGGAAUCUUCCGCAAUGGGCGAAAGCCUGACGGAGCAACGCCGCGUGAGUGAUGAAGGUCUUCGGAUCGUAAAACUCUGUUAUUAGGGAAGAACAUAUGUGUAAGUAACUGUGCACAUCUUGACGGUACAUAAUCAGAAAGACACGGCUAACUACGUG
rnacentral:rRNA from 1 species